rnacentral:rRNA from 1 species
UACAGAGGGUGCAAGCGUUAAUCGGAAUUACUGGGCGUAAAGCGUGCGUAGACGGUUAUGUAAGUCAGAUGUGAAAGCCCCGGCUUAACCUGGGAAUGGCAUUUGAGACUGCAUAGCUAGGGUGCGGAAGAGGGAAGCGGGAAUUUCCGGUGUAGCGGUGAAAUGCGUAGAUAUCGGAAGGAACACCAGUGGCGAAAGCGGCUUCCUGGUCCAGCACCGACGUCAGGCACGAAAGCGUGGGAGCAA